AUUGAACGCUGGCGGCAGGCUUAACACAUGCAAGUCGAGCGAUGAAGCCCAGCUUGCUGGGUGGAUUAGUGGCGAACGGGUGAGUAACACGUGAGCAACCUGCCCCUGACUCUGGGAUAAGCGCUGGAAACGGCGUCUAAUACUGGAUAUGUCCCGUCACCGCAUGGUGUGCGGGUGGAAAGAUUUUUCGGUUGGGGAUGGGCUCGCGGCCUAUCAGCUUGUUGGUGAGGUAAUGGCUCACCAAGGCGUCGACGGGUAGCCGGCCUGAGAGGGUGACCGGCCACACUGGGACUGAGACACGGCCCAGACUCCUACGGGAGGCAGCAGUGGGGAAUAUUGCACAAUGGGCGAAAGCCUGAUGCAGCAACGCCGCGUGAGGGAUGACGGCCUUCGGGUUGUAAACCUCUUUUAGCAGGGAAGAAGCGAAAGUGACGGUACCUGCAGAAAAAGCACCGGCUAACUACGUGCCAGCCGCCGCAUAAUAC
rnacentral:rRNA from 1 species